CCUUAUCCACGCCCUCAUGUGUGAAGUCCGGGUCAAAGUCCAUGGGAAUAGACCGGACCAACCUGAGCUUUUUUGCCAUCCCUAUUUGUUAUAAAUCUAAAACAAAGCGAAGUACCAAAUUAAAAGCAGUAACAAUACUUAAUACUCACAAGUUGUGUGAUGGCUUGUAGCUCCCAACAUACUUCUUGAUGGCAAUGCUGAGGAGGCUAGGAGAAGCACAGCGACAAAGAUCACCUGACGAACAAAUAAGCACAUCUUAAAAGCCAUUAUUUUAUUUUGUAAUACAAUUAAAUAAUGCAAGUCCUUGCAGAGACAUUGCCUAGAUAUAGUCUCUAAACGUUGCCCGUUGAGGUUGAAACUUUCUUACGUUCAUAAAGUCUAAAGCUUGAUUAAUUCCCACAAGGUGACAAGUCAUACUUUUGUUUUAAGAUGGUGUGAUCUUUGGUAAUUAAAACGUGUGAUUCAAGCAUUUUGAAUGUAGCAUUAAACAUUCAAGCGAUGAUAUCAAUCUGAAUCACCAACAUAAAAUCAUCACGUCAUCAUCAUUUGGAAUUUAGCCUUUUGAAAAAUUAGAGCUCAAAAUCCACUAGUGUUCAUUUGAAUGCAGAAGCAAGCAUGGAAACAAAAAAGUCUUAAGCAAAAUAUAUAAUAUAGUAGAAUUUUAACGAACUCGAUGGCUAGUUGAAUGAUCAAAUAUAUCUUCAAAACGCAUAUACCCGCAGCUAUGUUUAAUUAAUUUUCUUUUGUUUUCAGUUCCAAAUCCACUACUAAAAGUUGCGCCAACUAGCCCCUAAAGAGGCAUUUGAUUCAACGAUUAAAAACUCAGCAAUAAACUUCUUGUUACGGUCAUUUUGUAUCAUUAAUUUCAAUAUGUUUGCAGUCACUCUUUUAUAAUUAAUUACCUAUUAUUUGUUAAUUUUAUCUUACAUACUACGAAUUGGUUGACAGCAGUGAUAAAGUUAAGAAUUCGAUACAGAAGGAGCUAAGGUCUACAACACCAUAAUUCUAAAAAAAUUUUUAAAAAAAUUAUAUCAAAAUCUAAGUUUCAUCCAAAUCUUUCAUUCAAAAUACGGUAUUGCUUAAAUUGAGGGAUCUGAAACACGGUGAUGAAUGCUUUAACUAAUGACAGAGAGAUAAUUAAAGAGAACAAAAUUAUCACUAAUUUUAGUAAUCUCUACAUGCUUGGCGUCUUCCUGUUAAGCUUUGCAAGGCUUCUAUUUAUUGAGGGGGCACCAUUCGAUGUCACCUUGGAUCAAGAUUAAUACAGAUGGGAUUUUUCCGGGUGUUAGUGAUAUUCUUUAAAGGCCAAUCAGUGGCUUAUUUUUUAGGAAAUUAUUGUGUUUGAUUAGCAUUUUGAUAUUUAUAAAAUGAUAAAGUUAUCAAUAUUCAUAAAUUAUAUUAAUUAAUAUAGCACAAGAAGUAAAAUAGUUAAGGAAUACUUUCUCAAGUUUGUCGAGAAUAUGAAACGUGUAUCCUUUAUACUAUAGUUCUAAAAUAGUUCCUAGUGGUGUAUUCAUGAUUAUACGUCAAAAAGUUCCUAUGAGCACUAGUAUGCGUUAUGACUUCUUUAUGGUAUGCGAUACUAAAAUGCAUAGUGAGUUUCAUAUCAUUGAUAUGAGGUGCUAAGUCAAACACAUAAGUACUUGUUGCAAGAACAAGUUUACUGAACUUGACCAAAUAAUAAUAUGCCAUAUGGUCUUGAGUGUUAAUGGCUUAAUAUACAUUGUAAUAAACAUUAUGUUUAUUAAUGGUCUUUAGACCUGAGGCAUCACAGAUGUCUUAUGCAUAGACAUCUAUGUUUCGUGAAAGUAUCUAUGUUUCGUGAAAGUAUAAGGAUUGAUUCCUAAUCAAGUAAGAAACCUAGAAGUAGCUGUCAUGGUUGGCUGUGUAUGAAGAUAAGCGUAUGACCAAUAUGGAACUCACUUUGUAAUAAACAAAAAAGAUGCCCCUGGUAAGUUAAUAUGGAUCGGCAUGAGAAAUCCUUGGCCAUGGUGAAAUAUAUUCGAAGGAGUUCAAAUUAUAUUUUUUUAUGCCAAGUUCAUCUAGAUUUAUUUAGAAAUAAAGCAUAGGUGACUAACACAGUAAACCAUAAGCCAUGCUUUUCUCUGGAUAUGGAUGGUGAAUCGACCAGGACAUAGAGAAACAAUGGAAUAAGUUCUAUAGAUCUAACAAUUCUUAUUAUUUGAAUAGUUAUAAAAUACUGCUAGAGCUUCCACUAUUCAUUUCAAUUUUACCGCACAAAAGUUGCGUUUUCUAGAACUUCAUGGAUAAAUUUUGUCCUCACCGGGUCCUAAGGCCUCUGCUGAUCUUCAUUGGAAAAUUUUAUUGGGGGUUUUGUGAUGCCAUUAGGAAUUCUAGUCGGCCAUUUUUCUGAGUUACUUGCUGAGAUGAUUGCUAUUAAAGAAGCUCAUAUACGUGGCUGGUUCCAUAUUUGGAUUGAAAGUGAUUUUAUACUCACAAUUUUUCAUUUGAAGAGUAAUACUCUUCAACCUCCAGGGUCUGUCCUUCAUAGUCGGCAUAAUUAAUUGUGUUGAGCUUACGUCUUCCAUGUAAGUUUGUUUGUCUUAUGUAGUCAAAGAAGGAAAUAAGGAGAGACAACUUUGAACUUAAGAGGGCUUUUAAGACAAUUCAAAUGAUAAAAGUGCUAUUUAGACGAAUACAAUUUCUUUUUAAACCAAGAAGGAUACAACUAGGGAUGGCAACUGGAUGACUCCAUAAUGAAUAUCCACAAUAUCCAUCCAAUUGAAUCGGAUAAUAUCCAUCCAAAAUUUUUUGGAUCUUGAAAUAGAUAUUUUAAAAUUAUAUCCAGAUGGAU
rnacentral:lncRNA from 1 species